rnacentral:misc_RNA from 1 species
GAAGAAGAAGAAGAAGAUAAAAUCAGCAACAAAAUCGAAAAUUCCUCCGUACACAACGACGAAAACGGUGACGACGAUAGAGUAAUUGACGGUAGCAGUGGAGCUGAGAGUUUACGAGAAUCAAAGACGGGAGCUUUAAUUUCAGAAACCCUAGCUCAUCCUAAUGCAGAAUCAUCCGUACAAAUUGAAAUUGAUGGCCAAUCCGAAUUCGAUUCAGAGUUUUCUCCCUCUUAUCAACUUUCUGAAGUACCAGUGGAAUAUGAAC